GCCUGGUUAGCUCAGAUGGUAGAGCAUCAGACUCUGAAUCUGAUGGUCCAGGGUUCAAGUCCCAAUUCAGGCG